rfam:Alligator sinensis unplaced genomic scaffold scaffold458_1, whole genome shotgun sequence
GCAUUGGUGGUUCAAUGGUAGAAUUCCUACUUGCCAUGCAGGAGACCUGAGUUCAAUGUCUAACUAGUGCU